UACGGAGGGUGCAAGCGUUGUCCGGAUUUAUUGGGUUUAAAGGGUGCGUAGGCGGCCCGUUAAGUCAGCGGUGAAAUCCCGGGGCUCAACCCCGGAACUGCCGUUGAUACUGGCGGGCUUGAGUUCGGUCGAGGCGGGCGGAACUGGCGGUGUAGCGGUGAAAUGCUUAGAUACCGCCAAGAACCCCGAUUGCGUAGGCAGCUCGCUUGGCCGAAACUGACGCUGAGGCGCGAAGGCUAGGGGAGCGAACAGG
rnacentral:rRNA from 1 species